AGUGAACGCUGGCGGUAGGCCUAACACAUGCAAGUCGAACGGCAGCACAGUAAGAGCUUGCUCUUACGGGUGGCGAGUGGCGGACGGGUGAGGAAUACAUCGGAAUCUACUUUUUCGUGGGGGAUAACGUAGGGUAACUUACGCUAAUACCGCAUACGACCUACGGGUGAAAGCAGGGGAUCUUCGGACCUUUCGCGAUUGAAUGAGCCGAUGUCGGAUUAGCUAGUUGGCGGGGUAAAUGCCCACCAAGGCGACGAUCCGUAGCUGGUCUGAGAGGAUGAUCAGCCACACUGGAACUUAGACACGGUCCAGACUCCUACGGGAGGCAGCAGUGGGGAAUAUUGGACAAUGGGCGCAAGCCUGAUCCAGCCAUACCGCGUGGGUGAAGAAGGCCUUCGGGUUGUAAAGCCCUUUUGUUGGGAAAGAAAAGCAGCAGGUUAAUACCCCGCUGUUCUGACGGUACCCAAAGAAUAAGCACCGGCUAACUUCGUG
rnacentral:rRNA from 1 species